rnacentral:sRNA from 1 species
GAGAAGCUUCGACUAAGGUUCGGCUCGAGCGUCAGCGAGAGAGCGUUGCCGCAGGCAACGACCCGAAGGGCGAAGCGCGCAGCGCUGAGUAAUCCUUCCCCCACCACCA